CCCCUUGUGGUGUAGUUGGCUAUCACGUUCGGCUGUAACUGAAAAAUUUCAAACCGAAAGGUCACCGGCUCGAUUCCGGUCGAGGGGA
rnacentral:tRNA from 1 species